CGAGAUCAUUAACCAACACACUAUCAUCAAUACUAGAAAACAGGUAACACAAAAUAUGAAUUCAUUAAAGUCAGGCGAAACACUUCAAUUUGUAAAAUUAAACAACAAAAGCUCAAAAAGUAUGCUUGAGAAAUCUACUCGUCAUUGACUAGGUUCAUCUCGCCUUCCUCGACAUCUGCAUCGUCAAUAUCGACCUCCUGGUCGUCAGUGGCAUCCUCAGACUCCAAAAGCUUGAGGUCUUCAGCAACUUUUGGGAUGUUCUUUAAGUCCUCGGGGUUAGCAUCAGGCUUCGAACGCAAGAACGCCCGAGCCUCUUUUAAAGUAUGGAAGUAUGAGCUUAUGGCGUACUCCCCCUUCAACCCAUUGAUCUCUUCAGAAGUUUUGAAGUCCUCAAUUGUGAUGCCUCGAGCUUCAGUCAGGCGAGUUUCAAAAUCUCUCUUCAAACGCUCGAUCUCGAGCUUUAAAUCCUCGACCUCACCCUUGGCUAUUCCAGCCUCUUUCGGGGCUUUCUGAAGGUCAUUCUUGGCGUCAUUGCGUUCCUUCCGAAGAAGGAAGCGCUCAGCCUCCAUGUUAGCCAUUCUCUUCUCAUGUGCUAGAGCAGUAUCCUCGAGCUCAACAGUUUUUUGUGCCUCGUCUUUCCCCUUUAGAGAAAGGCCUUGGGCAAUGCUCAGCGUCUGCAGUAUUAAAAAGACGAGGUUAAUGAUCGAGCCAUAGAAAUUAAGGCACAAUGUAAGUAAAGUAAGUGAGCUUACCUUCAGCAUAAGAGACUCAAGGGCUUUCAUGCCCUCGUUGAAGCCAAGCUCCAUACGAUACUUGUCCACAAUACCCGACAACAAAGGGCACCAGUCAGAAUCUCAAUCUUGAAAAGAAGGGGCAGGAAGGGCUUCAUCCUCAAGGUCAACAACCUCGGGAGUACUUCUCGACCGAGGAUUUGAUCGAGGAGUAGUAAGUGGAA
rnacentral:lncRNA from 1 species